rnacentral:lncRNA from 1 species
AAUGCCGCAGGAUGCUGAACGUAGCAUCUUCUCUGGGGUUGGCGGUCGAACAGCAGCACGUGGACAGGGGGUUAGGAUCAACUUUGAUCUUCGCUGCGCGAGCUGCGAACUGCUGCGAACUGCUGCGAACUGCUGAUUGGGUGGGCUUGCUGGGUGGUCACGCGGGUAGAUCACUUGCGUGUUGCUGCUUGUGAAAGCCUUGCCGUAUCCGCAGUAGUAGUAGCAGAAGCGG